GGAGGGUCUCUGGCAUCUAAGCCGGAGCGUGCGGACGUUGAAAGUGAGGCAGACGCCCCGUAAGCCGGUCGCCGCGCGGAAAGAGGCCGGGACUCGUCGGUCGCCGCGGGCUUGUGGAGGCCCACGGCGGCGUCGACAGCGCUCUGGACAUGGAGCCUCCGCCCGCGAGCAGCCAAGACGACGCCGCUUACCGCGGCCCAGGCGUCGAGGAGCUCCGAGGAGAACGGCCUGAUACGAAGCCUGUGGUGAUCUCAGUAACCACAGGAGACGUCGAGAAGGAUCUCGAGUCCGAGCCUGAGCUGGGGGCAGAGGCAGCCGCAGAAGAAAGCCACGGUGGCGCGGGAGCUCCCGGCCCCGUGGACGACGAAAACCAGAGGGGGGGCGGCGGCGACGGCGGCGGCGACGAGGAGGAGGAGGAGGAGCCCCCGCAGCAGCAGGACGAGGCCUCCGCAGCCGCCGAGGGGCCGCAGCCCCAGGACCCGCAGCAGCGCCUCCUCCGCGGCUUGUUCACCCGGUUGGAGCUGAAGGAGCUGGAGAGCGUUUUCCAACGCGCUCAAUACCCUGACGUGUUCGCGCGAAAGGAUCUUACAAUAUGCGUGGAUGUGUCAGAGACCAGUAAACCUGAAAAAAGCAAUUUGCCUGGGGAGCAAUCGUAAAACCUGCUUCACGUCUGAUGCUUCUGUUCUACACAUUCCCAACUUGUUUUGGUUGUCUUUUCCAUGUUUGGAAAAUAAGUUUUGAAGUUUAGGGCUUUGGUGAGUGGAAAAUGGGAUAAGUAAACCCUACUUUAUGGAAAUUGCCCAUUACCAGGAUUUUGAUUUCUUGAAGGAAAACGAUAAAAGAGAACCUGCUUCUCCUAUUUCCUGUGCAAAAUUAAAU
rnacentral:lncRNA from 1 species